CUAUUAUAUAUGUGUGUUAUAUUAAUAUAUUGUUAAAUCCAAUAGAACCAUAUGCAAACAAAAAUAAUUGCAGGUUUGAAUUACUCCAGUAUCUCUGUAUUACACCCAAAGCUGUACAUACACAUAUAUAGAUAGAUGGAAUGUCUAUUAAAUGGGAAAUACAUUUAAGCAACACAGGGUUUAUGUUAGACAUUUUAUCUUUGCUCUUGGAAGGUUCUAUGUGCCAGACGACGGCUGUCUGUGAAUUAACUCUUUGUGUGCCAAAGGAAUAAAGAUGUUUGGUUUGGUUUAGGGGUCUAACAGAAAUUUGUUUUGAUCUGCGACUUGAGAAAUUAAGAUCAGAAUAGCAGAG